AGAGUUUGAUCCUGGCUCAGGAUGAACGCUAGCGGCAGGCUUAACACAUGCAAGUCGAGGGGCAGCGGGUGUAGCAAUACAUGCCGGCGACCGGCGCAAGGGUGCGUAACGCGUGAGCAAUCUGCCCGUAUCAGGGGGAUAAGCGAUGGAAACGUCGUCUAAUACCGCAUAACACCAAUGAUGGCAUCAUCGAUGGUUGAAAGCUUCGGUGGAUACGGAUGAGCUCGCGAGACAUUAGUUAGUUGGCGGGGUAACGGCCCACCAAGACCGCGAUGUCUAGGGGAACUGAGAGGUUGGUCCCCCACACUGGAACUGAGACACGGUCCAGACUCCUACGGGAGGCAGCAGUGAGGAAUAUUGGACAAUGGCCGGAAGGCUGAUCCAGCCAUGCCGCGUGAAGGAAUAAGGUCCUAUGGAUUGUAAACUUCUUUUGUACGAGAGCAAUAAGUGUCACGAGUGACACGAUGAGAGUAUCGUACGAAUAAGCAUCGGCUAACUCCGUGCCAGCAGCCGCGGUAAUACGGAGGAUGCGAGCGUUAUCCGGAUUUAUUGGGUUUAAAGGGUGCGUAGGCGGGAUUUUAAGUCAGCGGUGAAACGCAAGGGCUCAACCCUUGACCUGCCGUUGAAACUGGAGUUCUUGAAUGCGGAUGCUGUGGGAGGAAUGUGUGGUGUAGCGGUGAAAUGCAUAGAUAUCACACAGAACACCGAUUGCGAAGGCAUCUCACAAAUCCGUGAUUGACGCUGAGGCACGAAAGUGUGGGGAUCAAACAGGAUUAGAUACCCUGGUAGUCCACACUGUAAACGA
rnacentral:rRNA from 1 species